rnacentral:misc_RNA from 1 species
AACGCGUAUGGCACCUGCUAGUUCUACUAGGAGGUAUGCCUGUUUGAGAAUCGUCUUUAUCAAUCCUCCUUUGAUUCACUUCAAUGGAGGGACAUGGGUUGUCAUCAGUGACUGCCUUGAAUAUUCAAUGUGGUUGUGUUGUGAUAAUACUUGAUCGACCAACUACCGUCAUAUUUCAGCGAUCUCAAAUCAGGCAGGAUGACCCGCUGAACUUAA